rnacentral:rRNA from 1 species
GGGGGGGGGGGGGGGGGGGGGGGGGGGGGGGGGGGCGGGCGGGGGGGGGGGGGGGGGGGUGGCGGCGGGGGGGGGACGGGGGGGUGAUGCAUCGGAACGUGCCCAGGGGUGGGGGAGAGCUCGGCGAAAGCCGGAUUAAUACCGCAUACGACCUGAGGGUGAAAGCGGGGGAUCUUCGGACCUCGCGCUAUUGGAGCGGCCGAUGGCAGAUUAGCUAGUUGGUGGGGUAAAGGCCUACCAAGGCGACGAUCUGUAGCUGGUCUGAGAGGACGACCAGCCACACUGGGACUGAGACACGGCCCAGACUCCUACGGGAGGCAGCAGUGGGGAAUUUUGGACAAUGGGCGAAAGCCUGAUCCAGCAAUGCCGCGUGUGUGAUGAAGGCCUUCGGGUUGUAAAGCACUUUUGGCGGGAACGAAAAGGACUGUGCCAAUACCACGGUUCGAUGACGGUACCCGCAGAAUAAGCACCGGCUAACUACGUG